AAGUCGUAACAAGGUAACCGUAGGUGAACCUGCGGUUGGAUCAUUAAAAAAUGUUUGGUCUCGUGCCAAAUGAACAUUUGUGUGCACCAUUGUCUGUCCUUGGUAGUUCGAGUGCGCUCGGGAACUCAACACUCCCGCCAAGAGCGCCUACCCAAGCGAGCUUUGCUCGUGCAAGGUUGGACUGCCGCCUUUUGAAAAACCUUUUUUGUUUUGUUUGUUUUGUCUGAACGAAGAGUUGAUCUUUAUUGAUUAAUGAUUUGAAUACAACUUUUGACAACGGAUCUCUUGGCUCUC
rnacentral:misc_RNA from 1 species